UACGUAGGGUGCAAGCGUUAAUCGGAAUUACUGGGCGUAAAGCGUGCGCAGGCGGUUGUGCAAGACCGAUGUGAAAUCCCCGGGCUUAACCUGGGAAUGGCAUUGGUGACUGCACGGCUAGAGUGUGUCAGAGGGGGGUAGAAUUCCACGUGUAGCAGUGAAAUGCGUAGAUAUGGGGAGGAACACCGGUGGCGAAGGCGGCCAUCUGGACGGAUACUGACGCUGAGACGCGAAAAGCGUGGGUAGCAAACAGGG
rnacentral:rRNA from 1 species